GACGAACGCUGGCGGCGUGCUUAACACAUGCAAGUCGAACGGAAAGGCCCUGCUUUUGUGGGGUGCUCGAGUGGCGAACGGGUGAGUAACACGUGAGUAACCUGCCCUUGACUUUGGGAUAACUUCAGGAAACUGGGGCUAAUACCGGAUAGGAGCUCCUGCUGCAUGGUGGGGGUUGGAAAGUUUCGGCGGUUGGGGAUGGACUCGCGGCUUAUCAGCUUGCUGGUGGGGUAGUGGCUUACCAAGGCUUUGACGGGUAGCCGGCCUGAGAGGGUGACCGGCCACAUUGGGACUGUGAUACGGCCCAGACUCCUACGGGAGGCAGCAGUGGGGCAUAUUGUACAAUGGGCGGAAGCCUGUUGCAGCAACGCCGCGUGCGUGAUGACGGCCUUCGGGUUGUAAACCGCUUUCGCCUGUGACGAAGCGUGAGUGACGGUAAUGGGUAAAGAAGCACCGGCUAACUACGUG
rnacentral:rRNA from 1 species